rnacentral:rRNA from 1 species
AUUCCAGCUCCAAUAGCGUAUAUUAAAGUUGUUGCGGUAAAAAAGCUCGUAGUUGGAUUUCUGUUGAGGACGACCGGUCCAUUCAAUGAGUGCGUAUCGGUUCGGCCUUGGCAUCCUUGACGAAAUGGUUUCUGCGCUUGACUGCGUGGUGCUAGGUCGUCAACUUUUACUUUGAGGAAAUUAGAGUGUUCACGGCAGGCUAUCGCCAGAAUACAUUAGCAUGGAAUAAUACUAUAGGGUUUUGGUCCUAUUUUGUUGGUUUCUAGGAUUGAGAUAAUGAUUAAUAGGGACAAUUGGGGGCAUUCGUAUCAACACGUCAGAGGUGGAAUUCUUGGAUUGUGUUGCGACGAACUACUGCGAAAGCAUUUGCCAAGGAUGUUUUCAUCA